GCGAGGAUGGCACAAUGGUACUGCGUUCGCCUGCAGAGCGAAUUUUCCCGGGUUCGAUUCCCGGUCCUCGCU
rnacentral:tRNA from 1 species